UUACCCUACGGGGGGCAGCAGUGGGGGAUAUUGCACAAUGGGGGAAACCCUGAUGCAGCAACGCCGCGUGAAGGAAGAAGGCUUUCGGGUUGUAAACUUCUUUGACGAGGGACGAAAAAAAUGACGGUACCUCGAAAACAAGCCACGGCUAACUACGUGCCAGCAGCCGCGGUAAUACGUAGGUGGCAAGCGUUGUCCGGAUUUACUGGGUGUAAAGGGCGCGUAGGCGGGACUGCAAGUCAGAUGUGAAAUGCAGAGGCUCAACCUCUGAGCUGCAUUUGAAACUGUAGUUCU
rnacentral:rRNA from 1 species